CCUACGGGAGGCUGCAGUGGGGAAUAUUGGACAAUGGGGGCAACCCUGAUCCAGCCAUGCCGCGUGUGUGAAGAAGGCCCUCGGGUUGUAAAGCACUUUCAGUGAGGAAGAACGCCUGGUGGUUAAUACCCAUCAGGAAAGACAUCACUCACAGAAGAAGCACCGGCUAACUCCGUGCCAGCAGCCGCGGUAAUACGGAGGGUGCGAGCGUUAAUCGGAAUUACUGGGCGUAAAGCGCGCGUAGGUGGCUUGAUAAGCCGGUUGUGAAAGCCCCGGGCUCAACCUGGGAACGGCAUCCGGAACUGGCAAGCUAGAGUGCAGGAGAGGAAGGUAGAAUUCCCGGUGUAGCGGUGAAAUGCGUAGAGAUAGGGAGGAAUACCAGUGGCGAAGGCGGCCGUCUGGACUGACACUGACACUGAGGUGCGAAAGCGUGGGUAGCAAACAGGAUUAGAUACCCGAGUAGUC
rnacentral:rRNA from 1 species